CUUGAACUGAGUACAGGCGCUGAAACCUAGCCUGCAAAGUUUAUACACGGUUUAAAGGAGACGGGCUCUAUUGUAAUAUUAUUAACCUAUUAGUCUAAAUCUAGAUUUUGGGAAAUACUCUUUGGCUGCUGUAUAUAACUGGUUGUAUACCUAUGCCAAGCAAUCCACUUUUCUGGGACACUUCUAAUAGAGCUUUGAACAUAG